ACAGAUUUGAUUUUCUUCAGCUGCUGUGUAGAACUGGUCUGACUGGUCGCUGUUACUGGGAGGUCGAGUGGAGAGGAUAUGUUUAUAUAUCAGUGAGUUACAGA